GCCGAUAUAGCUCAAUCGGUAGAGCAGCGCAUUCGUAACGCGCAGGUUGUAGGUUCAAUACCUACUAUCGGCA
rnacentral:tRNA from 1 species